AUUGAACGCUGGCGGCAGGCCUAACACAUGCAAGUCGAGCGGAGCGGCGGACGGGUGAGUAAUGCCUCGGAAUCUGCAUGGUGGUGGGGGAUAACGUCCGGAAACGGGCGCUAAUACCGCAUACUAUCAGAUAAGCCUAGGUCGGAUUAGCUAGUUGGUGGGGUAAAGGCCGACCAAGGCGACGAUCCGUAACUGGUCUGAGAGGAUGAUCAGGCACACGGGAACGGAGACACGGUCCAGACUCCUACGGGAGGCAGCAGUGGGGAAUAUUGCACAAUGGGCGCAAGCCUGAUGCAGCCAUGCCGCGUGUGUGAAGAAGGCCUGCGGGUUGUAAAGCACUUUCAGCGGGGAGGCAUUACCCGCAGAAGAAGCACCGGCUAACUCCGUGCCAGCAGCCGCGGUAAUAC
rnacentral:rRNA from 1 species